UCAAGCGAACAAGUGCAUGUGGUGGAUGCCUUGGCGAUCACAGGCGAUGAAGGACGCGGUAGCCUGCGAAAAGCUUCGGGGAGCUGGCAAACGAGCUUUGAUCCGGAGAUGUCCGAAUGGGGAAACCCGGCCCGUAUGGGUCAUCCCUUGCUGAAUACAUAGGCAAGGGAAGCGAACGCGGCGAACUGAAACAUCUAAGUAGCUGCAGGAACAGAAAUCAACCGAGAUUCCCAAAGUAGUGGCGAACGAAAUGGGAAGAGCCUUGUACUCUUUAGCAGUGGUGUUAGCAGAACGGGAUGGAAAGCCCGGCCAUAGCAGGUGAUAGCCCUGUAUGCGAAAACACGAUUGUGGAACUAGGUGUACGACAAGUAGGGCGGGACACGUGAAAUCCUGUCUGAAGAUGGGGGGACCAUCCUCCAAGGCUAAAUACUCGUGAUCGACCGAUAGUGAACCAGUACCGUGAGGGAAAGGCGAAAAGAACCCCGGGAGGGGAGUGAAAUAGAUCCUGAAACCGCAUGCAUACAAACAGUCGGAGCCUCGUAAGGGGUGACGGCGUACCUUUUGUAUAAUGGGUCAGCGACUUACAUUCAGUGGCAAGCUUAACCGAUUAGGGAAGGCGUAGCGAAAGCGAGUCCGAACAGGGCGUUGAGUCGCUGGGUGUAGACCCGAAACCAGAUGAUCUAUCCAUGGCCAGGUUGAAGGUGCGGUAACACGUACUGGAGGACCGAACCCACUAACGUUGAAAAGUUAGGGGAUGAGCUGUGGAUAGGGGUGAAAGGCUAAACAAAUCUGGAAAUAGCUGGUUCUCUCCGAAAACUAUUUAGGUAGUGCCUCGUGUCUCACCUUCGGGGGUAGAGCACUGUCAUGGUUGGGGGGUCUAUUGCUGAUUACCCCGCCAUAGCAAACUCCGAAUACCGAAGAGUGCAAUCACGGGAGACAGACAUCGGGUGCUAACGUCCGGUGUCAAGAGGGAAACAACCCAGACCGCCAGCUAAGGUCCCCAAAUAUGGCUAAGUGGGAAACGAAGUGGGAAGGCUAAAACAGUCAGGAGGUUGGCUUAGAAGCAGCCACCCUUUAAAGAAAGCGUAAUAGCUCACUGAUCGAGUCGUCCUGCGCGGAAGAUGUAACGGGGCUAAGCCAUAUACCGAAGCUGCGGACGCACGCAAGUGCGUGGUAGGAGAGCGUUCUGUAAGCCUGUGAAGGUGUCUUGUAAAGGAUGCUGGAGGUAUCAGAAGUGCGAAUGCUGACAUGAGUAGCGAUAAAGGGGGUGAAAGGCCCCCUCGCCGUAAGCCCAAGGUUUCCUACGCAACGUUCAUCGGCGUAGGGUGAGUCGGCCCCUAAGGCGAGGCAGAGAUGCGUAGCUGAUGGGAAGCAGGUUAAUAUUCCUGCACCGUCGUAUGAUGCGAUGGGGGGACGGAUCGCGGAAGGUUGUCCGGGUGUUGGAAGUCCCGGUCCCUGUAGUGGAGAAGGCGCUUAGGCAAAUCCGGGCGCGGAAUUCAAGGCUAUGGGGCGAGCGGCCUAGUGCUGCGAAGCAAUUGGAAGUGGUUCCAAGAAAAGCCUCUAAGCUUCAGUCAUACGAGACCGUACCGCAAACCGACACAGGUGGGCGAGAUGAGUAUUCUAAGGCGCUUGAGAGAACUCGGGAGAAGGAACUCGGCAAAUUGGUACCGUAACUUCGGGAUAAGGUACGCCCUGGUAGCUUGACUGGCCUGCGCCAGAAGGGUGAAGGGGUUGCAAUAAAAUGGUGGCUGCGACUGUUUAAUAAAAACACAGCACUCUGCAAACACGAAAGUGGACGUAUAGGGUGUGACGCCUGCCCGGUGCCGGAAGAUUAAAUGAUGGGGUGCAAGCUCUUGAUUGAAGUCCCGGUAAACGGCGGCCGUAACUAUAACGGUCCUAAGGUAGCGAAAUUCCUUGUCGGGUAAGUUCCGACCUGCACGAAUGGCGUAACGAUGGCCACACUGUCUCCUCCCGAGACUCAGCGAAGUUGAAGUGUUUGUGAUGAUGCAAUCUCCCCGCGGCUAGACGGAAAGACCCCAUGAACCUUUACUGUAGCUUUGCAUUGGACUUUGAACCGAUCUGUGUAGGAUAGGUGGGAGGCUUUGAAGCGUGGACGCUAGUUCACGUGGAGCCGUCCUUGAAAUACCACCCUGGUUUGUUUGAGGUUCUAACCUUGGCCCGUGAAUCCGGGUCGGGGACAGUGCAUGGUAGGCAGUUUGACUGGGGCGGUCUCCUCCCAAAGUGUAACGGAGGAGUUCGAAGGUACGCUUGGUACGGUCGGACAUCGUACCUAAAGUGCAAUGGCAAAAGCGUGCUUAACUGCGAGACCGACAAGUCGAGCAGGUGCGAAAGCAGGACAUAGUGAUCCGGUGGUUCUGAAUGGAAGGGCCAUCGCUCAACGGAUAAAAGGUACUCUGGGGAUAACAGGCUGAUACCGCCCAAGAGUUCAUAUCGACGGCGGUGUUUGGCACCUCGAUGUCGGCUCAUCUCAUCCUGGGGCUGUAGCCGGUCCCAAGGGUAUGGCUGUUCGCCAUUUAAAGAGGUACGUGAGCUGGGUUUAAAACGUCGUGAGACAGUUUGGUCCCUAUCUGCCGUGGGCGUUGGAAUCUUGACGGGGGCUGCUCCUAGUACGAGAGGACCGGAGUGGACGUACCGCUGGUGUACCUGUUGUCUCGCCAGAGGCAUCGCAGGGUAGCUAUGUACGGAAGAGAUAACCGCUGAAAGCAUCUAAGCGGGAAACUCGCCUGAAGAUGAGGAUUCCCUGGAGGCUUGACCUCCUUGAAGGGUCGUUCGAGACCAGGACGUUGAUAGGCUGGGUGUGGAAGCGCAGUAAUGCGUUAAGCUAACCAGUACUAAUUGCCCGUAAGGCUUGAUCCU
rnacentral:rRNA from 1 species